UAAUACGGAGGGUGCAAGCGUUAUCCGGAAUCACUGGGUUUAAAGGGUGCGUAGGCGGCCUGACAAGUCAGAGGUGAAAUACACGAGCUUAACUGGUGAAUUGCCUUUGAAACUGUCAAGCUAGAAUUAUGUUGAGGUUAGCGGAAUGAGUCAUGUAGCGGUGAAAUGCAUAGAUAUGACUUAGAACACCAAUUGCGUAGGCAGCUAGCUAGGCAUAUAUUGACGCUGAGGCACGAAAGCGUGGGGAGCGAACAGGAUUAGAUACCCUGGUAGUCCACGCCCUAAACGAUGUUUACUCGAUGUUUGGACUUCGGUCUGAGCAUCCAAGGGAAACCAUUAAGUAAACCACCUGGGGAGUACGUUCGCAAGAAUG
rnacentral:rRNA from 1 species